rnacentral:rRNA from 1 species
CGUAGGUCCCGAGCGUUGUCCGGAUUUAUUGGGCGUAAAGCGAGCGCAGGCGGUUAGAAAAGUCUGAAGUGAAAGGCAGUGGCUCAACCAUUGUAGGCUUUGGAAACUGUUUAACUUGAGUGCAGAAGGGGAGAGUGGAAUUCCAUGUGUAGCGGUGAAAUGCGUAGAUAUAUGGAGGAACACCGGUGGCGAAAGCGGCUCUCUGGUCUGUAACUGACGCUGAGGCUCGAAAGCGUGGGGAGCGAACAGGAUU